rnacentral:rRNA from 1 species
GACGAACCGAGCGAACGUUAUUCGGAAUCACUGGGCUUAAAGGGCGCGUAGGCGGGCGGCCAAGUCAGAGGUGAAAGCCCCCAGCUCAACUGGGGAAGUGCCUUUGAUACUGGUCAUCUUGAGGGAGAUAGGGGCGUGCGGAACUUCCGGUGGAGCGGUGAAAUGCGUUGAUAUUGGAAGGAACGCCGGAGGCGAAAGCGGCGCACUGGAUCUCUUCUGACGCUGAGGCGCGAAAGCUAGGGGAGCAAACGGG